CAGUAGCCGCGGUAAUACGUAGGUGACAAGCGUUGUCCGGAAUUAUUGGGCGUAAAGGGCUCGCAGGCGGUUUCUUAAGUCUGAUGUGAAAGCCCCCGGCUCAACCGGGGAGGGUCAUUGGAAACUGGGAAACUUGAGUGCAGAAGAGGAGAGUGGAAUUCCACGUGUAGCGGUGAAAUGCGUAGAGACGUGGAGGAACACCAGUGGCGAAGGCGACUCUCUGGUCUGUAACUGACGCUGAGGAGCGAAAGCGUGGGGAGCGAACAGGAUUAGAUACCCCGGUAGUCCCUGUCUCUUAUAC
rnacentral:rRNA from 1 species